UACGAAGGGUGCAAACGUUGCUCGGAAUUAUUGGGCGUAAAGCGCACGUAGGCGGCAUUGCAAGUCGGAUGUGAAAUCCCUCGGCUUAACCAAGGAAGUGCAUCCGAAACUGCUAUGCUUGAGUACUUAAGAGGAUCGCGGAAUUCCCGGUGUAGAGGUGAAAUUCGUAGAUAUUCGCAAGAACACCAGUGGCGAAGGCGGCUCACUGGCUCGGUACUGACGCUGAGGUGCGAAAGCGUGGGGAGCAAACAGG
rnacentral:rRNA from 1 species